GAAAAGAAUUGGUCAUAAUUAUUAAACGAGAGAAUGUAAAUUUGAGAAGUGGGGUGGAGAGGUUAUAUCAUAGGGUUUUUUUUCUUCUUAGAAUAAAAACGAGAAGCAAGAAACGACAUUAGGUAGCAAAAAUUUUUAUUGAUUCUACCAUCUGUUGCUGUACCUUGUGAUGUACUAAUUUUAAUUAUUCAAAGACUUUACGGAGAGGCAAGGCCCUUGCAAAUUAGCUUGCAUUUGGUUUCUUCGAUUGAGAAAGUUUUCUAGAGGCUCAGACAUGACCUCACCUCUAGAAUCCAAGGGUGAGCACUCUGUCUUCAGGCUGCCAUGGGACAUCUUAUUUGUUCUUGUCCAUCUUUUGGGCAAUGACACAUUCUUUAUUUACUUUAUUUUUUAAUAUCUCUUUAGACAUGAUCUUUGUUAGCAGUUCUUGUAUGACGACUUUCAGGUCUUGGGUAUUUUAUUAAGUAGUUUGUUUGUUUUCCGCACUAAUAAUA